CAACCUAUACUUUUCAGCAUUUCUUUUUCUCUCUCUAAAAUAUACCAUCCUCGCUCACCUAAACCCACCAACUUUUUGAACAUGGAAAACACCAUAAAGCUUCAAAUUACUUGUGUCCUAUUCAUGUUUUUAAUUUUCAACCAACAAGUUAUGUUUGUUGAAGGGAGGAGUUUGAGGUCUCGGUUAUGUAGAGGUUGCUCAAAGCGUCACAAAAGCUCCAUUAUUCAUCAUCAAAGAAGAAAGUCUUCAAGACGUGUAGAGUAUGAAGUGGAUGAUUUUAGGCCAACAUCACCUGGUCAUAGUCCAGGUGUUGGUCAUUCCAUCAACAAUUAA